rnacentral:tRNA from 7 species
GGCCCCGUAGCUCAGGGGAUAGAGCGUCGGUUUCCUAAACCGUGCGUCGCAGGUUCGAAUCCUGCCGGGGCCA